CUCUCUCUUUUCUCGGUCUCCUUUCUCUAUAAACUGUGUUUUGUUUUACUCACAUUUGACUUUACCUCCUUAUAGACUUAGUUUCUGAACUGAUCCUUUCUCCCUGGCUAUUGAGUUCAGGUGUCCAUGUGAUUUGGAAACUCUGCUCAUCUAUUUUUCUAUCCAGUUUUUACUUUUAAUUCAUAACCAGGAUGGUGGUGGUUCUGCUGCAUAUUUCUGGUGCAUGCUCCUGCAUAUUCAUUUGCAUAUUGCUUCCACUGACGUGCCUAUGCUAAACUGUUUUACUUACAGUAGUAAUACAUACUUGUUAAAAAUUUUAAGCAUUACAGAAACUUGCAUAGAUAUGUACUACAUUCAAGAGUCAGCAGGUUUCUGUAAUGUUUAAAAUUACAGGGUUUUAUUAAGGGUUUCAUUUUAUUAAGAGAAUUAGAAAGUUCCAUUUUAUUAAGAGAAUUAUAAAGUUUCAGCCAGAGUAGUGGCUCACGCCUAUAAUCCCAUCGCUUUGGGAGGCCGAGGCAGACGGAUCACCUGAGGUCAGGACUUCGAGACCAGCCUGGCCAACAUAGUGAAACCCUGUCUCUACUAAUAAUACAAAAAUGAGCUGGGAGUGGUGGUUGGCACCUGUAAUCCCAGCUACUCAGGAGGCUGAGGCAGGAGAAUUGCUUGAACCUAGGAGGUGGAGAUUGCAGUGAGCCAAGAUUGUGCCACUGCACUCCAGCCUGGGUGACAGAGCAAGACUCCAUCUCAAAANNNNNNNNNNAUUCUCCUGCCUCAGCCUCCUGAGUAGCUGGGAUUACAGGUGCCCACCACCACUCCCAGCUCAUUUUUGUAUUAUUAGUAGAGACAGGGUUUCACUAUGUUGGCCAGGCUGGUCUCGAAGUCCUGACCUCAGGUGAUCCGUCUGCCUCGGCCUCCCAAAGCGAUGGGAUUAUAGGCGUGAGCCACUACUCUGGCUGAAACUUUAUAAUUCUCUUAAUAAAAUGGAACUUUCUAAUUCUCUUAAUAAAAUGAAACCCUUAAUAAAACCCUGUAAUUUUAAACAUUACUCUCUCGAACCCUUGACCUC
rnacentral:lncRNA from 1 species